rnacentral:rRNA from 1 species
AACGUAGGAGACAAACGUUAUCCGGAGUUACUGGGCGUAAAGGGCUCGUAGGCGGCCAACUAAGUCAGACGUGAAAUCCCUCGGCUUAACCGGGGAACUGCAUCUGAUACUGGAUGGCUUGAGUUCGGGAGAGGGAUGCGGAAUUCCAGGUGUAGCGGUGAAAUGCGUAGAUAUCUGGAGGAACACCGGUGGCGAAGGCGGCAUCCUGGACCGACACUGACGCUGAGGAGCGAAAGCCAGGGGAGCAAACGGG